AUGAGGAGCCAGGGGCAGGGUGGGCCUGGGGCCUGGCGGAGGAUGGAGAGCUGGAGUGCAGAGCCUGCUGGACCAGGGCAGGGCCGCCUUGGGUCCCCCUGUGAGGCAGCCGAGCAAGCGAGCUUUGAGAAGACAGUGAUAGGAGUGGGGCAAGCACGGGCAGCCCUUUCUGAAGAGGAGCACAGAGUCUGGGAGGCUGCAGCGGGAGUUGGAGGACUAGAGCAGUGGGGCUGCUGGGAAGCAGGGGUCACGAGUGGCUGGGGC
rnacentral:lncRNA from 1 species